UUUUUUUUGAAGUGCCCUGCUAUUCACCACCAGCCAGAAGGUGCCCCGCGUCCAGGGUGGCGGAACUUCCUUUUAAAUGGAAACGAGUUUUAAAGGCGCCUGGGGCCGGGGCGGCUCCGUGGUGGAGCUCUUGCCCUGACUCUUCCCCAGCUCAGCCUGAAGAGUGUGGGGUUGAAAACAGUAAAGUAAUGGUGCGCCGCCGUGGUCGGCCACAGACACGGAGGAAGGCCUGGCCUGGGGGUCAGUCCCUCCACCAAGUACUCAUCUCCUUGUGCAGCCUCCCUUGACCUGUCCUGACCUCCACACCAGGGCUGCUUCCUCGGAUGUCAUACCCCUGGGCCUUUGCAUAUGCUGUUUCUUGUGCCUGGUGAACUCCUAUGCACUCUUCAAAGCCCUGCUCAGACAUCAGCUGCUUGGAAGAACAGGUCCGGGCUUCUGUGGGCAGACAGGUGCCCUCAGCUGUGCCCCUGUAGUGCGUUGUACCUGUUUUAUUUGUGGCGGGGAGUUGCCCAGUGGUCAUGUGCCCUUCUCUGUCCACAGAGACCCCAUUCUAAACACCAGGCAUUGAGCCGGAUACCAGGAGAAAUCAGUCAUCCUGCUUUUUCUCCGGUGUUUGGUCCAGGGCUAGGUGUGUGGUCCUGGUCAAUGAGACGUAAGGAGGAGGAGAAUUGGGGGAUAAGAGGGAGGGCUUCCUGAAAAUAUUUUUCUCCCUGAUAAAAUAGAGAUCCUAGAGGAGAACCCUAUGCUCCUGAGAAUGUGAUGUACGGUGCUGAGGCAACCAUGUUAGGACCACGAGGCAAAGCCAUGAGACACAGGAGUCACAUCAAGAGCAGGGGCUUUCUAAUGCCAAAGCAAGGUCAAGGGUGGUGGAGGCUGGAGGCUGGAGGCUCCCAGGGGAGGGAACUGAGGCCUGGAGAGGCCGGCCUAAGAAUACACUGGGCGCUUUACUCUGGGGCCUGCCACUCCCACUGAGCCCCACAGACUGGGCACGAAACUGAAGACCACAGAGGGAGGGUGACCUGUGUGACAUCCCAGAGCUGCUCUGGGCAGCAUGAGACUGGGUCCCCUGACCUCAGAACCCAGAUUCCCAGCCUCUGUUCACCCUGGUACAAAACCCAGCGGCUGGGUGCUGCCGCCUGCCCAGGCCACACGUGGCGGUUGACCAGCCUGGGCUGGGCGGGGCCCUGGGUCCUUUCCCUGCCAGGGACGUGGGGUGUGACAGAGCCUCGCCCACUUCUGUGAAGGAAAUCUCCGGCAAUUCAUUCCUAGAAGGAAGAGCCACGCCCUGUACUGACCUGCUGGGCACAGGUGGGUCCAGCGGCCUCGUGUCCACUUCCAGGAAAGGGUGGGGGCAAGGCAGCG
rnacentral:lncRNA from 1 species